AUGGAAAACUCUCUGCUGAUGACUCUUACGGCGCUCCUGCUCCUUGGAGUUCAAGGAAUCUCAGCUCAGUCCUCAAUCAACAACAUCUCAACCCCCUCAACCCCACGACCCACUAGUGCUACAACAUCCACUACCCUACAGGCCACAUGUCCGAAACGCAUAGAAUAUAUUACUAAGUCUGAUCUGUUCCAGCUGAAGGUAAUAUGGAAGGUCGGUCCAUGUGAAGGUCAGCUUUAUGUGUAUUCUCAUGAGCGUCAAGGGCCUUUGUGCUCUAGCAGUGAAAUAUCAGUCAGCUGGUGGUCUGGAGUGUGUAAAGACAGAAGAUGUGGAGACUUCAAGGGCUUUAAGCACACUUCAAACCAAGCUAAAGGUCUUAUGCUCACAAAAAAUAUGACAUUCAUCGAUACUACUAAGUGCAACGGCCUGCAUAUCAUGUGUGAAGAUCCUCUAGGAACAGAGUUGGCUGCUUAUAAAGCAGUAACUGGCAUAUUAAUUUUCUUGAUCUUGGGUGUCAUUCUGGUUCAGUUUGGUCGGCCCACGUACAAAGCCAUCCGCAAACGAUUUUCACAAAAACGUCAGAAUCGCUGGGUCGGCCCGACUCAGAGCGGUGAGUCAUCAUCUCACACAUUAACACAUUCAUGACUGGCAGCUCAGAAAAAUCACCUGCAUUUUAUCUUUCUUUUCAAAGUGUGCUAUAAUAGAGGUCAAGGACCCCCAAACAAAAACACAGACAAGAGACAGUCCUUUCCUGGUGAGUAAUCGCCCUCUUUCUCUCUAUCCUGACUGUUUUGCACUCUUUCUAUUAAUCUCUCACUCACAUUUCUGCUCAUCACCUUUGUACUCAAUUACAUAAUGAUGAAUUGAGUGUAUUUGGAUAUUUAAGAUUAAACUAUUAUCCAACAUAAAAUCAACUUUGCAUGAAAUUAUCUAAAUCGUCAUCAGUUUUGACCUUCUUGACUAUAUACAGCAAUUAAGAUCAUGCAAUAAUGUCAUCAUUUUGACAAUCUAUAAUUAUGUAGGUCAAUGAUUUGAAAUGUAUAUUAAAAAAAAGAAAGAAAAAUGCUUGAGACAGCAUUUUGUCCCAAGUUAUCUACCUUCUACUUUGUGGUGAUAGGGAAUUACCUAUUUGUUUUAUGUCAUUUUUAAUUUAUUUAUCUUUUUUUUUUUUUUUUUUUUUUUUUUUUUUUUUUUUUUUUCUUAAGUGUAGGCGCUCACAAAACAAACAAGGUAGCCGAAGAUAUCUGUAAAGUUCGGUCCUUGAAGUUGAUGAAUUCUAUUUUGCUUCCAUAACAUGUUUUGUGGAAAUAAAACAAUUAUCCCAAUUAUUUUAUUGCCCUUUAUGUAUUUGUGUCUGUAGAUUUCAGUUAUGAUACACUUUUUAAAGGCUAUUUUCUCAAAAUGACUUUUUUCCUUUUCUUUCUACAUUUGACUCUAAUUUGUCACCAAAACGAAAAAGAAUUUCAAACCUGGCUUUACCCAAUGUUCGGAUUUCUGUUCUGGAAACGAAUGCAAGUUAUUGCGUAAUUAAUUACAUAAUGCCACAAAUGUUACUUUUCAGAAAACUUGUAAUACAAAAAAAAAAAAUAAAUAUUUGUCAAUUUCUUAAUAUAAUCAAGAAACUGGGAAAGUAUGGUGAUGUCUAUUAGUUAAAUUUUGAUCCUGUUCACCUGGGGUGUUUCAUGCUCUGUACGUGACUAUAACUCUGUAUUAUUUGUCUGUGUUGUCAGGUUUGGAGAGGCUGACGGUAAACCAGAGCAGAGAGCCCUCAUCCAACAGAAACAGUGAUUAUGACUCAUACGGCUACAGCUGAAGGCCUGUGCUCACAAAAGACUUACUGACCCCAAGAACAACGCUCGUCAUCUACAAUCAGCAGAUUGUUUUACAUUACACAGCUUCGGUUGUGUUGAGCUGUCGAUUGGCAAAACAAGAAAGCUGUAAAUAUCUUUGAAAAGCAUAGCUGAGAAAUCCAUUUAGGAUCAAAUAAAAAUAAUAAUGAUAACUUAGUCUCAACAUAAGCACAAAAGUGCUUAUUUAGUAUAGCAUAGCAGGCUUCCUUUUAUUCAUUAUUCAUUUUUUAAUGCUUUGUAAUGACUUGUUUUUGCUGUGUUUGUUUUUUUGGUGUUGUUUUUAAAUAGUCAGAAACAAAAUGGGAUUCCGCCUUAUGUUCAAAAGAUGAUGGAUUUUUAAAAAAAUGUUUAUUUAUGCACGUGAUUGAUUUGUGAGUUGGAGUUUGAAUAAUUUUAAAUAAACUAAAAAGGCAAUCAUUCAGAUCUUUCGUGACUUUUGACUUGGGUGCAGAAUCAGAAUAAAACUGGUGGGAGUAAAUUAGUAGAACGAUACAUCAUAAAUAUAUAAGCAUGGUUACGUUAGAGCUUAGAUGAGAAAUGUCUUCUGAGGUGGCAUGGAAGUGAAGUUAAGCUUGGGAGAGGGAAUGUGGUGUUAAUGCAGAAUUUUGCAGCAAUGUGGUUUCCUGUCAUAAUUCUAUUAACUUCCUGUUUGUGUUAUUUCUGUCACUCAUGCUCUAAAUAUACUCAGUGUGCUCAUUCUUUUUGGUUGGAUUCUUUGUCUUUCUUUCUUUCUUUCUUUCCUUUCAUUUUUCCUUUUAAUAUUUUCUCAUUUCUCUCUUUCUCUCUGACCCAGUUGAUUUUUUUUAAUACUGCACUCAUAGAGGGUUUAAUAUCACAACAGCUUAAAAUCUUAUGUCUUGCCUGACUGAUGGUAGCUAAGUAAAACUCUCUUUCUAAGUGCACCAGUGAGAGAGACAGUUAAAAAACUUGGUUGGUUUCUGCCUAAACCUCUCUAUAUCUCUCCAUGUGUUUGCAUGCACAGCAGUUCAAGAUGGUUGUUUCAGUUCUGUGCAUUUUUUUUUUUUUUUAUUGUUAUGUGGCUUUGUCUUUGCAGCUGUCUUUAGUCUCUCUUCAUAUUUGAGACAAAUACACAGCCGAGAGAACAAACGCAACAGUGGGUUUCGGAAGAGAUGAGUGUUGUGUGUGUGGUGGGUGGAUAAGUGUCGUCUCCUCCUCACUCCUCAGGUCAGAGUGAAGGAUUAUAUCGUGUGUUGUGUGUGUGGUGGGUGGAUAAGUGUCGUCUCCUCCUCAUCCUCAGGUCAGAGUGAAGGAUUAUAUCUGUAGUUUAAAUGAGGUUCCAGCAGAGAACAAUGACAGAUGACAACAGAUUACAUGCACAGAUUAACAGAGAGACCACACUGGAUAAAAUAUCUAGUGCAUCCAUCCGGCAUUUCCAACAAACACUUGUGACACUGACAUCAAACCUACUUGUUACCUGCAUACAGUCUGUUUUAAUGUAAAUCUUUGGUUAAAUCUUUUGCAUUAAAAUUCGUCACACAAGCUUUUGCGUUAUUAUUUCAACAGUUACAAUCAACUGUACAAAAAGUGGAUUAUAAAAGAUAAAAAAAUUAUUGAUGCCCUUGUGAAUAUAUAUUUUUGUACAUAUCUAUCUGAGCAAAUACUAAGCAAAUGAAUUGAGUUGAUGCUUAUAAAAGUGUAAAGUUUGAAAAUUCUGUUCAUUUUCUCUGUUCAUUACAAGAGAGUAGUCAUUUAGAAUGAUAAUAAAUGGGGAUAAGGCCAUGGGAAAGAGUUCAUAUAAUACAUUUAGGUUUUAUGUCUUUAGAUGUUCUCGGUCAAAAAAGCAGAGGAAGAUUAGAUGGAAAAGAGACUGUGGUGUGAUUAAAUACUUUUAUUUUUCAGAUGCAUAAUGUCCUCAUUCUUGCUAAUAGGAUUUUGCCUUUAAUGCCGGCGUCUGCAGCAUUUCUCCCUCAUGUACUACUAAUCAUUAAGCCGCUGAAAUUAAACAUUAAAAGCAUUGAGAUCCCAUUACUUUAAUGUAUGUGCAGAAACUCGUCCAUUUGUGACAACAUAAAUUCUGCAUGUUUAAUCAUAGUAAACAGAAGUGGGAAAGAGAGAGUGAGCGAGAUUAAAGAUGAGAUAGGAAGUGGGUUUCAAGAUUUACCAGAAGUUUAAUAUCCAAGAAAUAAAGGAGAGAAAAAAGGGGGAGGGGGAGAUGAGAGGAUUAUUUACCAUUUUAAAUGAAUAAAUCCGUAUUGUGUGAAUCCAGGCACACCAGCCAAAGAGGGACAGAGAGAGUGACAGACCGAAACAGUGCAGCACUACAAAUGGCAAAAGAAGAGAGAAACAACACACAAAAAUAAGGAAAGGAGGAUUUGAAGAUCAUUUGGAUACUUCUGAAAUAUCUGAACUUGGAGUAUUUUUAUAUUUAUAAAACUAAGAAAAAACUUCCAAAGCACUGAAGCAAAGUAUCCUGACAGAAGAUGGAUUGAUGAAAAUCACACUGGGCUGAGCAUGUUUGUGAGAGAAGAGUGAUACCUUACUUUCGGUUUUGCACAUCUGAAAAUCUGGAAGGACCGUUGAGGCAAGUCAUAUAUAUAUAUAUAGAGAGAGAGAGAGAGUAUUUUUUCUAUUUUUAGUUUUCUAUUUUUUUAUGUUUAUUUAUGUAAACUUAUAU
rnacentral:lncRNA from 1 species